AUGUGCCCUGUGUAAAGAAGAAAACAAUCAAGGAACUGGCUGUGAGCUUUCAGCAUAAAUUGGUCAGCUUCCCCUUUUUCACUGCAGGUGGAGUUAUAGAGAGUCUUGACCAUUUCAUUCUUACAUCAUCCGUCUGCAAUUCCCUUUAUCUACACAAGGACAGCCAAUCAGCAGUUCAGCAGCUGACACGGGGCAGCCCAUGCACCGAACACCGCUGCCUGCCGGGAUCACAUCUCUGCAACACGUGCCUCCGCCUCCGGCAGAGACUAACAGUUCUGUGGACUGUCUUUGCUUCCCACGCCCCUUUUCUGCCUUCGUGAUUUUGCUUUUGCUAUUCUGUUCUCCACCUCCCUUGGUCCAGCUGGAUCUAAAUAUUAUCAAGUGUAUGUAUCAUCUCACCCAGCAAGCAACUCCUUUCUCUGGGUUGCUCUAAGGCCUCCUCCCCCGUAUUCCCCCAGCCCCCAGAUUCAUGUGUGAUACACUCUUUACCACGUUUAUGUUCAAAUUACUCAUUCGUGUGCAUUUGUUUCAUGCUCCAGACCUUCAGCUCUCCUAGGCUAAUGAGCAGACUAUCGCGCCUGGGACAUAACUGCCUUCAUCCACAACUCAGUCUGUACCUGCUCCACGCGUGCUGCCACCUACAGGCCCAGGAAAUGUACUCGUUUGUGUUUGACUGCUAUGAAUUCUAAGGAAGACCUCCAUCCUCCAUUCAUCCAGCCAUUUCAUUGGAUAAGCUGAGGUUAGAUACCACUCAGAGUUAAGGGUAACUACUACGUGGUCUUCCUUAGGAUCAUCAAAGCUGAUAGAGUAGAGCUUCUUGCCAUUUAAAAGUCAGGUUAUGGUACUUGCCUAGUGAACACCAGUGAGGAUAAUAGCAAAACCCCAAUUUCAAAUAUAAAAUAUUACUUUUCAUACAGCUUUGAUACCUGCCCUUAACUUACCCACCCAAAGCUGUGAUAGGCUAUCUAACCAGGGCAACCACAGGCAGAAUGUCAAGGAAAAGAAUGUUGACCGUGCAGUGCUUGUGAUUUCACCACAAUUUUGUAAUCUUGAGAUUAUAAUAGAGUUGCUCCGUUUUUAUUAAUCAUUUGCAACUUUGCUCUGAGUGCAAAGACAGAUGGCAGGGAUGCCAGAAACAAUGCAGUCGCUUAGUGAGUGAAGUGGCUUAAAAGCACGUGCUAGAAUUUUGCAUUUUGCUUGUGAAGAACGUAUAGAUGAAGCACGUACAAUGUCACAAAAAUAAUGCCCCCAAUUUAAAAAAAAAUCACAGUUCAAGAAGCUAAAGCAGCUUGUCAGUGAAAGAAGUAUCAAGCAGAUGUUUGCCUUAUUUUGAGAUAUAUUUAGACUUCUGAAGGAAAACCACACAGAGCAUUUUUAUUAUGCACCUGUCAUGGUCAACAUCUGGCACCAACUCUCACCAAUCCAUCAAUCUCAUAAUGUGGUGUCUUCCAGCUCACAGUGAAGUGUAAAUAAAUGCAUAGUGAGGAGCAUUGCUUUUUUUCCUUUUGUUUAUGGCAUGAAGGAAGCAGCACACACUCACACAUGCACAACAGAAAGGGUACGUCUUUGCCAUUUGUGAAUGACACGGCAACAGUAGCUUCUAAAGAAGAAACACGAAUGUAAUUAGAGGCACUAUGAUGAGAAAAUCUUGAUUACUUUUAAAGGGAAAUGAGUUGUCUAGGAUCUGCCAAUCUUCCUGUCACUCAUUAGUUCAAGGGUGUCUUUCAGCUACUGGAUACACAGAUUUGGGGUGAAUGGCUACCAAGAAAAAAUAUGUACAAUCUUUGCUCUCAUUUAAGGUAGUGCAUGCAUUGCACUCAAGGAACUGUUAUCAAAGUCUGUAAAUGAGAGGAGAAGACCUAUUGAUAAUCUUAUUUAUGAGAUAUUCAUUUUAUGUAAACUAGGAGAAAGGGGCUGGAGAUUUAGCUCAGCGGCACAGUGCCUGCCUGGCAAGCGCAAGGUCGGGAGUUCAAUUCCUGGUACUGGAGAGAAACCAAAAAAAAUUUAAAACUUAAACUGGGAAAAAUAUUUUCAGGCCCCAACACAGGAAAUAAGGGAAAACUUUUGAGCAGUUAUUCUGUGGACAGGGAGAGAGAGAGAGAGAGAUCAAAUUCCACUACAAAUAGCAGUUACUGUCCAAGUUAUUUUGAGAAACUGGAUAAGUAGGACGUUGACCAAUGGUCAAAAGUUUCCUUUAGAAGAGAAAAAACAUAUAUUGUCAUCACAUUUAUAAUACUGGAUUUCUGCUGCAGCAGAUUUUAAAUGCCACUUUUUUUUGAUUAUCUAAAAGUUUAAGUUUUUCAAGUAAGUAAGAAGACAGGGCUUGCUUUAAUCAGCUAUGUUUCUAUUUUGGGGAACUUGCUUGCAACACACACACAAUUUCUAAACAGAAGUUCAGGGCAUAUAUUAGAACUCAGUUUCAAGUGAGGAGGCUCAGGUUUAAACUACCAUAAACAGCAACACAGAUGUCACUGAUCUAUAACAAGGGACAAGAGUGACUGGAACCAGGAUCUUGUACACUAGUGGGACUCUUACUCUUCUGUCUCUUUAUUCUCUGUUAGUUAUUGCAUAAUUUCUCCAAAGGCAAAUAUGUAUUCACAUGCUGUCGUAUUGACGGCUAGCUCUAAGUUCAGGUAUCUCAAAUUCACUGUCAAAAAGAAAAAAACGUCUUUUCUUCCACUCUUGAUUCUCUCUUCCCCAACCUUACCCUGAAACCUCUCCCAAAUAGACAACUCGGGUAUUCAUCUCUGAUUUAUCAAAGGAAGGAAGGCAAGAAGAAAGCAUUAUCAGGAAGAAAGGAAGUUCAAGUCCAGACCAAGUGGUGAUGCCUGGCGUAGAACCAAGAGGUGUGGAAGUCAGAGAAAUUAUUCAAAGAUCUAUAUCUGUUUUCAUGAGAAGCCACUUUGAAGAUAUCAAUAUGUAAUACAACCACCAUUGUUAAUUCCC